rnacentral:rRNA from 1 species
GACGAACGCUGGCGGCGUGCCUAAUACAUGCAAGUUGAGCGCUGAAGGUUGGUACUUGUACCAACUGGAUGAGCAGCGAACGGGUGAGUAACGCGUGGGGAAUCUGCCUUUGAGCGGGGGACAACAUUUGGAAACGAAUGCUAAUACCGCAUAAAAACUUUAAACACAAGUUUUAAGUUUGAAAGAUGCAAUUGCAUCACUCAAAGAUGAUCCCGCGUUGUAUUAGCUAGUUGGUGAGGUAAAGGCUCACCAAGGCGAUGAUACAUAGCCGACCAGAGAGGGUGAUCGGCCACAUUGGGACUGAGACACGGCCCAAACUCCUACGGGAGGCAGCAGUAGGGAAUCUUCGGCAAUGGACGAAAGUCUGACCGAGCAACGCCGCGUGAGUGAAGAAGGUUGUCGGAUCGUAAAACUCUGUUGGUAGAGAAGAACGUUGGUGAGAGUGGAAAGCUCAUCAAGUGACGGUAACUACCCAGAAAGGGACGGCUAACUACGUG